GGAGCGGGGGCAGGAUGGUAAUGCAGCGGAUUGCUAAUCCGUAGGGCCCGCAAGGGCUCACCGGGUUCGAUUCCCGGUCGCUCCGCCA
rnacentral:tRNA from 1 species